ACGCUCGACACCUACUGGAGGCAGCAGUGGGGAAUAUUGCACAAUGGGGGGAACCCUGAUGCAGCGACGCCGCGUGAGUGAAGAAGUACUUCGGUAUGUAAAGCUCUAUCAGCAGGGAAGAAAAUGACGGUACCUGACUAAGAAGCCCCGGCUAACUACGUGCCAACAGCCGCGGUAAUCUGAGCGGGCUGGCAAGGC
rnacentral:rRNA from 1 species